AUCGUCCUACCUCGAUAGUUAACAAACCCGGAUGGAGCUUCUUAAGAGUAUUUAUUGACCUUACCCGCGGUGUCCAUCAGGCUAUCGAACUCCAACGGCCACGUUGAAGGGCAACAUAAACAAAGCUACUACACCAUCCGGGACUUAUUGAAUCCACCUCCUCCAACUAUACCAAUACUCACCUAAAUUCGAACAAACAACCAAAACCAUCCAGAAAAAAAAGAAAAAAAAAUGCCUUCUCCAUUCACCACCCCUCCUCCUCAAUCCUCAAUAUAUCUCCUGUCGUACCCAACACCAGGUGUGCUUCUGGUCACCAUCAACCGUGCCAGACACAUGAACGCGAUCCAUUACCAGGGACACUGGGAUCUCCACGCGCUCUGGACAUGGUUCGACAACGAACACACCUUGCAAGUCGGCAUCGUGACCGGUGCCGGCGACAAGGCGUUCUGCGCCGGGCAGGAUCUGCUCGAGAUCGAGAUCGAGAAUGAGAAGAAUAAUAGCAAAAUCCCGCCAGUGCAGCAGCACUCGGCCACCCUGAGAGUCCACCCUCCGUCCGGGUUUGCCGGCCUGAGCCAGCGAAAGGGGAAAAAGCCCGUGAUCGCGGCCGUGAACGGGUUCGCAUUCGGGGGUGGUUUCGAGAUGUGUCUGAAUUGCGAUUUGGUAAUUGCCUCCCCGAAAGCACAAUUUGCUCUACCAGAGGCAAAA
rnacentral:sRNA from 1 species